rnacentral:rRNA from 1 species
UACGGGGGGGGUAAGCGUUGUUCGGAUUUACUGGGCGUAAAGGGCGCGUAGGCGGCAGAUCAAGUCAGCUGUGAAAUCUCCGAGCUUAACUCGGAACUGUCAGCUGAUACUGUUUUGCUAGAGUGCGGAAGGGGCAAUCGGAAUUCUUGGUGUAGCGGUGAAAUGCGUAGAUAUCAAGAGGAACACCUGAGGUGAAGACGGGUUGCUGGGCCGACACUGACGCUGAGUGCGCGAAAGCCAGGGGAGCAAACGGG